UACGGGGGGGGCAAGCGUUGUUCGGAAUUACUGGGCGUAAAGGGCUCGUAGGUGGCCAACUAAGUCGGACGUGAAAUCCCUCGGCUUAACCGGGGAACUGCGUCCGAUACUGGUUGGCUUGAGUUUGGGAGAGGGAUGCGGAAUUCCAGGUGUAGCGGUGAAAUGCGUAGAUAUCUGGAGGAACACCGGUGGCGAAGGCGGCAUCCUGGACCGGUAUUGACGCUGAUGCGCGAAAGCCAGGGGAGCAAACGGG
rnacentral:rRNA from 1 species